AUGUCAACAUCCAAAAGAUCCAAACGGGGGCGCUGGCCUGAGCCUGUCCCAGUUUCCCUCCGCGACCUCACCCAUCUUCAUUCCCUGGGGCCACCUGUGACCGGGCACUGCCCAGCCUCCAACCUUCACCCCUGUACAGGCCUCGGGCCAGAAAGGACACAUACCACACUCAACACACAUUCACAUUCACACACUCACCACCACACUCACCACACUACACUCAACACUCUUACAUUGACACACUCACACCACACUCAACACACUCACAUUCACACACUCACAUUCACACUCACACCACACACACACCAUACUCAACACACUUAUACACAUUCACACAUACCACACUCAACACACAUUCUCACCACACUCACCACACUUACACUCACACACACCACACUCAACACUCACAUUCCCACUCACCACACACACACCACACUCAACACUCUUACAUUCACACACUCACACCACACUCAACAUUUACAUUCACACUCACACCACACUCAACACUCACCACACUCACUACAAGCCACAUUCACACACAUCAUGCUCAACACACUCACCAGUCACACCCUCACCACACUCACUACACUAAACAUACCCCCACCACACUCACACACAAAACACACCACACACUCCACGUUCACACUCACCCACACCACAUUCACACAUAGCACAUUCAACACACCACUCAACGCACAUACCACACACCACACUCACACACACUUGCACUACACUCAGCACACCACAUUCACACCCUUACACCAUGCUUAUACUAUGCACAUUUGCACACUCACAUCACACCCAUCACACUCAACACACUCAACACACACACAUUCAUACCCUCACACCACACUUACACUAGACACAUUCACACACUCACAUGACACCCAUCACUCAACACACUCAACACAUUUACACACAUUCACACACUCACACCACUCAACACACACGCCACAUGCCAGUCACACACAUAUCACACUCAACACCACAGUCACACCCUCACCACACUCAUCACUGUACCACCACCACACUCACACAAAACACACCACACACCACACUCACACUACACUCAGCACACCACAUUCACACCCUCACACCACACUCACCACACUAUACACAUUCACACAUCACACCCAUCACUCACCACACUCAACACACUCACACACUCACACCACACUCAACACACACACCAUACUCAACACACAUACACAUUCACACUCACACCACACCCAUCACACUCACCACACCUCAACACACACAUUCACACUCACACCACACUCAACACAUUUACACACAUUCACACACUCACACCACACUCAACACACUCACACACCACAUGCCACAUUCACACACACCACACUCAACACACACCCACAUCACACUGACAGACACACAGACAUGACACCCAUGGAAGCCCCAGGGCCUGUGAAUGGCAGACACACGCAAAGGAGCGGGCGUGCCAUGUCUCCCUGGUGCGGGGUCGUGCAGGUGGGGGAUUCGACUCUGAGGGGCUUUCUGCCUCCACAGCCAGACACCAGCCUCACCCCAGAGCUGCUCUGCCUUUCUAGGAAAGCAGCAGCCACGCCCCCAAACACAAGCCCUGGAUGCGACCUGGCUGCUGCGUGCUGGGAGCCAGUGGGCUUUAGCUUCCUCUCCAGAGGAGCUGACUUCUAGACCCGGGCCAGGGCCUGGAAGGAGGUGUGAGCCAGAUACAGGGAAACAGGCCUGGGCGGAGACCUCGCAGGCCUGCAAAGGUGCAGGCAGGGGCCCCAAAGCAGGAGACACCCCAUAAAAAUCCCACUCAGUCGUGCACCUGCCAAAUCCUCACUCCCAACAUCCCCAGCACUCACUCAGCACCUCCACAGCCUGCAGGCCACAAGAGAUCAGCUCAGCAGAGACGCGCUGCCCGGGGAGCCCCUGGCGGCCAGGACGUCCCCAGCUCACAGCCCCUGCCCUGCUACUGGUCCCCAGCUGCGCUCACAGCUGUGCCUCGUACUGCAUAGAAAUGGAGCCCCGACCUGCCCAGAGUCACUUGCUCCACACGUGUGUGGGGAAUGGCCGUCCUGGGGCCCCCACCCUGCUCUGCCUUCUGUGUGAACCCACGCGCUUUGCCAAGUUCAGGCCAGAGCUUUCCUUUAAAUCCAGGACCCCAACUCGCAGGCAGAGACUGGCAAUUCUAUGCAAAGCCACCUUAAGAUCCCUGAUUCCGGGGAGGGAGGGGAGAACCCGGGAUGUGAAGCUGACAGCUUCACCUGAUGAUGCAUUUGCAGGAAGCCACCCCAGAACCCCCGGGCCACCGCAGACAGCGAUCAACCAUAAACAAGGGAAGUUGAGUGGCCGUCCGGGCAGCAGCUGAAACGUGCAGGCUCGCAUAAACACACCUCCCUGAAAGUGUUUCCUGCAAAACCACCCAAGCACAGGACGCUCUGGCUCCAGGACACUGCCCAGCACCAGCUGAGUCUCACAGGAAACUGUUACCGCUUUGUGCAAGUUUUCAGAGUCACUCACGUAACAAACGUUUCUCAAAAGCCUGCCAUGGCCAGGACCGUGCUCCAGGCGCAGUCCUGCGGCAGCGGUGAGGCUCACAGACCCAGGUCUCACAGGGCUACUGUGUGAGAGGGGACCGUGACAGUGCGCUGGGGAGGGCACUGCUGGUGGACGUCUCCUCCCGGCAACCAGCGAAGGGCCCGGCUCCUGCCUCCACCGAGGCCCUUGCAGAGUGGGCGCUUCAGUAAAGAGACAAUUGAAUCAAUAAAGCUGAAUCCAUGAAGAAGUAAGUAAAAAAUAAGCUUCGUAGAAACAAUGUGCUAGAUGUGAACAGAGUAACUCGGAUACAGAUCAUCAGAGCACAGCUGCAGCCCAGAGGCGCCGGCGACCCCAGCCCUGCACGAGACUCGCUUUCUAUUCUCACACGGACUCUCUCUCAAGGGCCUCCUCCACUCCUCGGCAGGGUUGCUGAUUUAAUAAAAACACACGAUGCUCAGUUAAAUCUGAAUUUCAGGUAAACCAAUAAUUUUUUAGUCUAAGUAUGUCCCAUGCAUUAUUUGGGAUGUACUUAUAUUUAAAAUAUUCAUUGUUUGUCUGGAAAUCAAAAUAUAACUGGGCAUCAUGCGUCUUACCUGGCAACUCCAUUUCCUAGCAAGGUCAAGAGACACUAGGCUGGUGACCGUAGGANNNNNNNNNNNNNNNNNNNNNNNNNUUAGAACAUGCUAGAAU
ensembl:lincRNA